AAAAUCAGAAGCUUCAUGGAAAACCAGCCCACCUUGGUGAAAACAGAGAGGUCCUACACACAGGAUAAGCCCAAAGUUCUAGCAAUCCUCAAAUCCAGUUGGUUUUUCUGUUCAGCUGCGUUUCCUUUCCUCACCCCCAAACACACUUGGCAGACACCAGUUGUCUAGAGCAUUAGCUACCCUAGGGAGAGCUGCCUGGUCCAUGACUGCAAGGCUCAGUAUGUGUGGCCAGAAGAUGCCCCUAGAUGUCCAGCGUGAAAGGCCAACAUUGGAGAAUCCAUUUCUCUUAUCAUUCCCCACUCUCAAAUCGCUGCAGUUGGGUACCAUCUUGAGAGGAAAGUAUUAUUUAAAGUCAAACUAUCUUGGGGACCUGAUAACAAAAAGAAUCACACGUCAAGGGGCCUGGAAUUAGCCUGCCACAGACAGACCCAGAGUGGAAGACACUCUAAGGACCAGUCAUGGAGAAUGUGAGAGACAAGCUGGAACACCGCAAGAAACUCAGGUGCUGUACAUUCUGAAGCUAAAAAGUAAGUCCAUCACCUAAGGAUAACCAGACAGUCUGAGCACCCCAAAUCUGAGGUCAGUGAGGGGCGCAGCUUCUCAUGCCUCCUGCCUGCCACAAGGGUCUUUGCCAAUGGGAUGGAGAAUUCUGCAGUUGCCUAUACUUGCCCGCCAUGGCUUCAUUUUCCAGUAGAGUGCUUAAUGCUGAGCAGGCUUUGAAAGCACAUGGAUUGCCCCACUUCACACAGACUCAGUGCACUUUUUAUCCUUCACCCCCAA
rnacentral:lncRNA from 1 species